AUUGAACGCUGGCGGCAGGCCUAACACAUGUAAGUCGAGCGGAUGAAGGGAGCUUGCUCCUGGAUUCAGCGGCGGACGGGUGAGUAAUGCCUAGGAAUCUGCCUGGUAGUGGGGGAUAACGUCCGGAAACGGGCGCUAAUACCGCAUACGUCCUGAGGGAGAAAGUGGGGGAUCUUCGGACCUCACGCUAUCAGAUGAGCCUAGGUCGGAUUAGCUAGUUGGUGGGGUAAAGGCCUACCAAGGCGACGAUCCGUAACUGGUCUGAGAGGAUGAUCAGUCACACUGGAACUGAGACACGGUCCAGACUCCUACGGGAGGCAGCAGUGGGGAAUAUUGGACAAUGGGCGAAAGCCUGAUCCAGCCAUGCCGCGUGUGUGAAGAAGGUCUUCGGAUUGUAAAGCACUUUAAGUUGGGAGGAAGGGCAGUAAGUUAAUACCUUGCUGCUUUGACGUUACCAACAGAAUAAGCACCGGCUAACUUCGUG
rnacentral:rRNA from 1 species